AAGCCAUGAAUGGUAGGCAAGUCAACACCGACACCAUCAACUCCUUGAAAGAGCUUCGUUCGAGAAAGAAUUGACAAAGACAUGUCUGCGCCUAUGUCUUCAUUUUCUUCGAUUUAGACAUACAUGAUUUCAGCUUGCUGAUUAAAGGAUGAAUUACCGAGAAGAGGAUGAUAGCACCAUAAAAGACUUACUAGGUUUAUAU
rnacentral:lncRNA from 1 species